CAGAAUCUGAUUAGCACAAAAGAAUGGGCUGUUUGUCUACCAGCAGGGAGGUCGGCAGUGAUGACCAGACAUGGUGGGCUAGAUAAGCAUAUCCAGAUUUGCCCCUGACCAGACGGUAGAAAGGAUAACUAACCAAGAACGCACUAACACUGACCAAGAUCUCCGUGAGGGUAGAGGUGAAACAAACCCAGUACUUUCAAUGGUGCCCUUUUCCUAGCUCACAACCGGAAACCAGUUCCUUACCAUCUCCAAACCUCAGCAAUCUACCUGGUCCUCCAAGGGGAAUAAUUCUGACCUUGGGCUGAAGAGGAAGAUGGUUUGCCAGAAGGGAUCGGAGAAUGCACCUGUUGUGCAUGCGGGCCACACACUAACCAGCCUGGAAAGCUGCCUGCUCCUCCGCGCCCCGGCUAAUUCCCCAGUCACAGCUGGGACUUCACGGCGGGAGCAGCUUCCCUCGAAGUACAGCCUGGCUCCAAAAUAAUUCUCCGCUCUCCAGCUUAAACUGACGCGGGUCCACACAAGUCCCACUAAGCGGAUCCAAACUAGCCGGUGUGACCCACACCUCCAACAGUAUUCCAGAGGACAGAAUGGGGGGGGGGGGGUAGCCUGUAAAUCCAGUACUUCGGGAGGCUGAGGCAAGAGGAUCGCACAUUAGAGCCCAGCCUGGGCAAGUUAGGGAUUUAGCGAGACCCCCGUCUCAAAAUAAAAAAUAAAACGGGC
rnacentral:lncRNA from 1 species